UUGAAUUUUACUCUACAAAGCAGUAUCAUGUUGACAAUUUGGACGUUAUUAGUUUAUGGAUAAAUUAAUUCUUGAACUUGUUUUAUUGAAUUCUUAUAUCAUUGUCAUCAUCUUCAUGUUUAUAUUUUGUUGAAAGUCAUCUGUGGCCUAUAGUGCAUAGAUGGACUUGGUAUGAUUAUGACCAGGGAUUAUUCGGUGUAAUCAUG
rnacentral:lncRNA from 1 species